CUAACAGGUGUUUCUUAUAAUCAAUAAUGUGUUUGCUCUUGAUACCUUAAACCUUAGCUUAGAAACUAUUGUCUAAUGGGGUUGUUUAUGGAGAAGAGCAAUAUGAUAACUAAGGUAAAAAUUAAGAAGAUAAAAGGUAAAUGAAAAAUAAAAACAAGAAUGAUAUGAAUUCAACUGAAAAUACAAAGUGAAACUUGAAAUUGGAGUAAAUACUUCAAUUUAUAUACAUGAAAAAUAACUAAAAAUAGCAUCAUGGUCCACUAAUUUAUUCAUGUUCAACAUGUAACGUGACUAACUACC
rnacentral:lncRNA from 1 species